ACCAGACUCCUACGGGAGGCAGCAGUAGGGAAUCUUUCACAAUGGGCGAAAGCCUGAUGGAGCAACGCCGCGUGCAGGAUGAAGGCCUUCGGGUUGUAAACUGCUUUUAUAAGCGAGAAAUAUGAUGGUAACUUAUGAAUAAGGAUCGGCUAACUACGUGCCAGCAGCCGCGGUAAUACGUAGGGGGCGAGCGUUAUCCGGAAUUACUGGGUGUAAAGGGAGCGUAGACGGCGAGGUAAGCCUGAAGUGGAAGCCCGCGGCCCAACCGCGGAACUGCUUUGGGAACUGUUUUGCUGGAGUAUGGGAGGGGUAAGCGGAAUUCCUGGUGUAGCGGUGAAAUGCGUAGAUAUCAGGAGGAACACCGGUGGCGAAGGCGGCUUACUGGACCAUAACUGACGUUGAGGCUCGAAAGCGUGGGGAGCGAACAGGAUUAGAUACCCCGGUAG
rnacentral:rRNA from 1 species